UACGGAGGAUGCAAGCGUUAUCCGGAAUGAUUGGGCGUAAAGCGUCCGCAGGUGGCUGUGUAAGUCUGCUGUUAAAGAGUGAGGCUCAACCUCAUAAAGGCAGUGGAAACUACAUGGCUAGAGUGCGUUCGGGGCAGAGGGAAUUCCUGGUGUAGCGGUGAAAUGCGUAGAGAUCGGGAAGAACACCGGUGGCGAAAGCGCUCUGCUAGGCCGCAACUGACACUGAGGGACGAAAGCUAGGGGAGCGAAUGGG
rnacentral:rRNA from 1 species